UAUGGGACGUGACAGUUCGAGAUACUUUAGCUCAGUCUUAUUUGUCUAUUUCGUCGACUAAGGCUGGAGCUGUCGCUGAUCAAGCAGAGCGUAGGAAACAUAAUCAUUAUGUCGGUCUGAAAGAGAAUCACUUAUUUGCACCGACAUUAGU